rnacentral:rRNA from 1 species
AGCUUGCUUUCUUUGCUGACGAGCGGCGGACGGGUGAGUAAUGCCUGGGAAAUUGCCCUGAUGUGGGGGAUAACCAUUGGAAACGAUGGCUAAUACCGCAUGAUGCCUACGGGCCAAAGAGGGGGACCUUCGGGCCUCUCGCGUCAGGAUAUGCCUAGGUGGGAUUAGCUAGUUGGUGAGGUAAUGGCUCACCAAGGCGACGAUCCCUAGCUGGUCUGAGAGGAUGAUCAGCCACACUGGAACUGAGACACGGUCCAGACUCCUACGGGAGGCAGCAGUGGGGAAUAUUGCACAAUGGGCGCAAGCCUGAUGCAGCCAUGCCGCGUGUAUGAAGAAGGCCUUCGGGUUGUAAAGUACUUUCAGUGGUGAGGAAGGGAGUGUGGUUAAUAGCCAUAUUCUUUGACGUUAGCCACAGAAGAAGCACCGGCUAACUCCGUGCCAGCAGCCGCGGUAAUACGGAGGGUGCGAGCGUUAAUCGGAAUUACUGGGCGUAAAGCGCAUGCAGGUGGUUUGUUAAGUCAGAUGUGAAAGCCCGGGGCUCAACCUCGGAGUUGCAUUUGAAACUGGCAGGCUAGAGUACUGUAGAGGGGGGUAGAAUUUCAGGUGUAGCGGUGAAAUGCGUAGAGAUCGGAAGGAACACCAGUGGCAUGGGCGAA